CUGAGUCCCUCGCAUCUUCAUAUUAUGAUCAAUUUGUAGAUUUCUUCAAUAAAGCUAUCUGGGAUUUUUUAUGAGUUCUCAACUCAGAACUUACUUCCUCAGAAGGCUUUUCCUGAUUUGCCCACCAACGGUUGUCCUGUACUUAACUGGGCGGGAUUAAUUGCUCCCUCUGCAAACUGCUCUCAGCACAAAGUAUUCCUUGGCAGGAAUCUCUGCCCGUCUCUCGCCUUUCCUCUCCUCUGCAUGGCCUGCGCCUAGCACGCCAUAAAUAAUCUGUGGGAUGGAUGCUUCGUGUGAAGAAGCCAAGUUCAGGCUUGGGCAAGAUUCACCACUUUAAAAUCAGGAGGACUUGGAGAACAAUUAUAUUUGAAGGAGAUUACACUGGAAAGAUCUCUCGCCUUCUCAAGGGCAAUACUUGAUGCUUAUUAAAUAAUAGGCAUUUAAUAUGUACAUAUUCAGUGCCCGUCCUGUUCUGGAUAUGAUGAACAGGGCCUGGGGACUACAACAGAAUGGAACAGAAGGCUGAGAACGUCCAGGCACACAGAGGCCAAAGAAGAGGAGACAGAAUGGUCACAGGGGACAUCGCUGAGCUGGCUGCAGACCCCAGGAGAGUGUCAGAGGGUGAGGUCUCCCAGGUCCCUUAGGAAGAUUCAUGAGGCAAGGAUAGGGACGAGUGGGCCCCAGAGCAAAAGGUAAGACAGAUCAUAGGAAACAGGGAGCUAGAGCUGUGCAAAUGGGAAAGGGACCAAAAGGUGGAGGAAGGGGGAGGGGAAAGAUGGAUAAGUAAGAAGAAUUAAGCUGUGCUAUAUACUUGUACCAACCGUAAAAGAAAUGUCAUCAUUAUGUGCUGCAAGUAUA